CCCUUAGAUGUUCUGGGCUGCACGCGUGCUACACUGAUAUUGCCAAUAUGUCAUUCUUAUCCGAAAUGGAUUGGGUAAUCAAGUAAUGAAAUUUCAUGCUUGGAAUCGGUAAUUGCAAUUUUAUCGUGAACGAGGAAUUCCUAGUAAGCACUAGUCAUCAGCUAAUGUUGAUUAUGUCCCUGCCCUUUGUACACACCGCCCGUCGCUACUACUGAUUGGGUGUUCAAGUGAGAUGCUUAGACCCUUGUUGCAUGGUUCAUUAUUGUGCGCCGAAAGGAAAAAGUUUCAAGCUUGAGUGUCUAGAGGAAGUAAAAGUCGUAACA
rnacentral:rRNA from 1 species